rnacentral:rRNA from 1 species
AUGGCACAGAGGGAAAAGGAGCAAUCCGCUUUGAGAUGGCCUCGCGUCCGAUUAGCUAGUUGGUGAGGUAACGGCCCACCAAGGCGACGAUCGGUAGCCGGACUGAGAGGUCGAACGGCCACAUUGGGACUGAGACACGGCCCAGACUCCUACGGGAGGCAGCAGUGGGGAAUAUUGCACAAUGGGGGGAACCCUGAUGCAGCGACGCCGCGUGGAGGAAGAAGGUUUCGGAUUGUAAACUCCUGUUGUUGGGGAAGAUAAUGACGGUACCCAACAAGGAAGUGACGGCUAACUACGUGCCAGCAGCCGCGGUAAAACGUAGGUCACAAGCGUUGUCCGGAAUUACUGGGUGUAAAGGGAGCGCAGGCGGGAAGACAAGUUGGAAGUGAAAUCUAUGGGCUCAACCCAUAAACUGCUUUCAAAACUGUUUUUCUUGAGUAGUGCAGAGGUAGGCGGAAUUCCCGGUGUAGCGGUGGAAUGCGUAGAUAUCGGGAGGAACACCAGUGGCGAAGGCGGCCUACUGGGCACCAACUGACGCUGAGGCUCGAAAGUGUGGGUAGCAAACAGGAUUAGAUACCCUGGUAGUCCACACCGUAAACGAUGAUUACUAGGUGUUGGAGGAUUGACCCCUUCAGUGCCGCAGUUAACACAAUAAGUAAUCCACCUGGGGAGUACGACCGCAAGGUUGAAACUCAAAGGAAUUGACGGGGGCCCGCACAAGCAGUGGAGUAUGUGGUUUAAUUCGACGCAACGCGAAGAACCUUACCAAGUCUUGACAUCCCUUGACAGGCAUAGAAAUAUGUUUUCUCUUCGGAGCAAGGAGACAGGUGGUGCAUGGUUGUCGUCAGCUCGUGUCGUGAGAUGUUGGGUUAAGUCCCGCAACGAGCGCAACCCUUAUGGUCAGUUACUACGCAAGAGGACUCUGGCCAGACUGCCGUUGACAAAACGGAGGAAGGUGGGGAUGACGUCAAAUCAUCAUGCCCUUUAUGACUUGGGCUACACACGUACUACAAUGGCGUUAAACAAAGAGAAGCGAGACCGCGAGGUGGAGCAAAACUCAGAAACAACGUCCCAGUUCGGACUGCAGGCUGCAACUCGCCUGCACGAAGUCGGAAUUGCUAGUAAUCGUGGAUCAGCAUGCCACGGUGAAUACGUUCCCGGGCCUUGUACACACCGCCCGUCACACCAUGAGAGCCGGGGGGACC